rnacentral:rRNA from 1 species
AAACUUGAGAGUUUGAUCCUGGCUCAGAACGAACGCUGGCGGCAGGCUUAACACAUGCAAGUCGAGCGCCCCGCAAGGGGAGCGGCAGACGGGUGAGUAACGCGUGGGAAUCUACCUAUCUCUACGGAACAACUCCGGGAAACUGGAGCUAAUACCGUAUACGCCCUUCGGGGGAAAGAUUUAUCGGAGAUAGAUGAGCCCGCGUUGGAUUAGCUAGUUGGUGGGGUAAUGGCCUACCAAGGCGACGAUCCAUAGCUGGUCUGAGAGGAUGAUCAGCCACACUGGGACUGAGACACGGCCCAGACUCCUACGGGAGGCAGCAGUCGGGAAUCUUCCACAAUGGGCGAAAGCCUGAUGGAGCAACGCCGCGUGAGUGAUGAAUGCCUUCGGGUUGUAAAACUCUGUCUUGUGAGAAUAAAGCUUAAAGGUAAAUAAUCUUUAAGUUUG